GGCCCUUCAAUCAUAACCCUAAGAGGCCCAGAUCCGAGCCAAUUAUCAAACCAACAGCUGGUACUAGCCCCAUGUUAUGCACUACCAAUCCUUUCUCCUUUUUUAAACAGCUCGUUCCCUUUACAAACACUACGCCAAAGAGGAGAAGGUUUGGAAGCAUGUUUAUCAAUACUGCCAUAUUUGCCUUUAAGAACUUUGCACCAAAAAGAUCGAGUUAGGCUCAUUAUGGAACCUACAAUUUAAUUUAGCAAGGGCCACAUGAUUAGGCGCCUCAUGGGAACUCCGAAUGCCCAGACCUCUCCCAAAGCUUUUGGUGUCACUACAUUAUUCCAACUAAUGGCAUGGAGCUUACGGACCUCAGCUGUUGAACCCCAGAGGAAGUCCCUAUUCAGCGUGUCUAAACGAUUGGAAACCGAAAUAGGCAAGGCAUUAGUUGGAAACCGAAAAGGACUGUAUUUGGAUAAAAGGGGGGUGUGAACAUCAAUUCCCAUUAUGAAUUAGGAAAACUACCGUACUCAUUGAUGACAUAAAUGCACUUUAUAAAUACCAUGAUGAUAAACACAUUACAAAAGAGCAAUAGGUACACAUCAUAUAAACACACUACUACAUCAAGCCACGUAGAGCAAUAUAUAGGUACAUCAAAUGAAACUCCAAAUACAUAUACUAGCACACACUACAAGUGCAGAGCGCCACACACCAUGCCAGACCAGCAAAGGAUUAUUGGUGAACUCCUACGGGCACAAUACAUAAACUAGAGUUCCCCCAUGUUGCCUAGUUUCAUGGCUUACUUCUUUUAAGGUGGGUUUGUAUUACCGAAGGCCAGGGCUGUUGUAUUACUUAAGGUUAUGGCCAGGACUGUUGUAUUACUUAAGGUUAUGGCUGAUGGUGUGAUCACUAAGGCUAUAUCAUAAUCCAAAGUUGGACUCGGCGUGGACAAAAGAUGACGAGCCGCAUCGCACCUUUCAGUGCUUGCAAUGCAGAGAAGUGCAAAGGUAAGUACGUAAAGGUAACCGAUAGAAGCCAUUGUUGAGCAGAAUGAAGGACAAGAAGUUAUGGAAGGAUACUGAGAAGCAAAGGAAAUUAAAGGACGGGCAAAGAGGCUAAAUUUUUAUUGUGAU